CACUAUCGGCCUCAAUUUUCCAUCGUCCGGCCGGCGCUAUGGGGUCGGUGCCGUUUACAAGGCACAACACCAAGACUGAAAGGGCCUAAUCAUGUCAUCGAAACAUAAGUGCUAAGGAGCAAUCACAGCCCAUACUCCAUUAAGCCGUCCCUGAGGGAGAGAACUACCGGCCGCACACCAGGACCCUUAGCUCUCCCAAGAUGCACCACGUCAAGUUCACCAAGACCACAAAGAUCUUUGAGAUGCAACGUUAUGUCGGACAGGCGCGCGUGGGGCUGAGCGUGCGCCUGCGUACCCUGACGGCCUGGACGUUCUGCGCUUCCCCACCCUCCCUGAGACCUGCAGCACCUACAGCUGGACCUGGAGCGGCCGCCAUGACACGCUUGACAUGUGUGAGCUGUUGGAGGAGGUGGUGGAGAAGAGGGAGAUGAAAGAGUAGGAGGAGGAUGCUGGAGGUCUGGGAACUGGUGCAGGAGGUGAUGGAGGAGGCGGAGGAGGAAGGGGGCAAUGGUUCUGCGUCCCCGGCCUCCCCUUGCACCCCGAGACAGACUUGCAAGCUGCCAUGACAUGGUGGACACAUGGAAACAUAGUGGAGGAGGUGAUGGAGGAAGAGGAGGACCACACCACAGGCUAAAUAUGUUUGCUGCCUAGGGCCCCCCACCUGCAAGGGGGCCUCCACCACAGGCUAGAUAUGGCUGCAGCCUAGGGCCCCCACUUGCCAGGGGGUCCCCACCACAGGCUAGAUAUGGCUGUAGCCUAGGGGGCCCACCACAGGCUAGAUAUGGCUGCUGCCUAGGGGGGCCCUAUCACAGGCUAGAUAUGGCUGUAGACUUGGGGGUCCCAACCAAAGGCUAGAUAUGGCUGUAGCCUACGGCCCCCACCUGCCAGGGGCCCCCCACCACAGGCUAGUUAUGGCUGCAGCCUAGGGCCCCCCACAUGCCAUGGGCCCCCCCACAGGCUAGAUAUGGUUGCAGCCUAGGAGCUCCCAGCUCAGGCUAGAUAUGGCUGCGGCCUAGGGGGGCCCAUCUUCCAGGGGGCCCCUGCCAUAGGCUAGAUAUGGCUGCAGCCUAGGGGCCCCCACCACAGGCUAGAUAUGGCUGCAGCUUACGGCCCCCACCUGCCAGGGGGCCCCCACCACAGGCUAGUUAUGGCUGCAGCCUAGGGCCCCCCACGUGCCAUGGGGCCCCCCACAUUCUAGAUAUGGUUGCAGCCUAGGGGCCCCCACCACAGGCUAGAUAUGGCUGCGGCCUAGGGCCCCCACCUGCCAGGGGCCUAGGGCCCCCCACGUGCCAUGGGCCCCCCCACAUUCUAGAUAUGGUUGCAGCCUAGGGGCUUCCAGCUCAGGCUAGAUAUGGCUGCAGCCCAGGGGGCCCCAUCUUCCAGGGGGCCCCUGCCACAGGCUAGAUAUGGCUGCAGCCUAGGGCACCACAGCCUGAAUAUGGCUACAGCCUCGGGGCCUCUACCACAGGCUAGAUAUGGCUACAGCCUAGGGGCCCCCACCACAGGCUUGGAAUGGCUGCUGACUAGGAGCCCCCACCACAGGCUUAGAAUGGCUGCAGCCUAGGGCCCCCCACCACAGGCUACGUAUGGCUUCAACCCAGGGGGCCCCACCACAGGCUUCAUAUGGCAGGCUAGAUAGGGGGCCCUUGGACAGACUAGAUAUGGCUGCCGCUUAGGGGGCCCCCAUCAUAUGCUAGAUAUGGCUGCAGCCUAGGGGCCCCCACCACAGGCCAGAUACGGCUGUAGUCUUGGGGCCCCCACCACAGGCUAGAUAUGGCUGCAGCCUAGGGGCCCCCACCACAGGCUACAUAUGGCUGCAGCCCAGGGGCCUCUACCACAGUCUGGCUAUGGCUGCAGCCUUGGGGCCCCCAUCACAGGCUAGAUAAGCCUAACAGCCCCCCCCCCC